CAAAGCAAUCAACAAAUACAUGGAGAUACAGACACAGAUUGGUCUGAAUUGUAAAACAAAACAAAAUAAAUGUACUUGUGGACAGUUCAUAACAACUAGAUCAGAGUGAUAAAAAGUUUGUUAUCACUAGGGAAAACCUUACUAACUGACCUAUAACAGUAAGAACACUAGGGAAAAGGUUGUUACUAAUAAAAGGUUUCAUGGCAUUCUUUAGUUCCUUUUGGUUUCAGUCCUACAAUGCAAGGAUAUCGGAUUUUGGCUUGGCAAAACUCAGUCCUUUGGUUAGUCAAUCACAUGUAACAACACGGGUAAUGGGAACUUAUGGUUAUGCUCUCUUGAGUAUGUUCAAACAGAUUGAUAAACGUUAUGGGUUUUAUGGAGUGUCCCAACAUCUCUUUUUAGCUCUGGAAUUUUAAUGUCUUCCGAUUGACAUAGCUAUGGAAUUUUAAUGUCUUCCGAUCGACAUAGCUCUGCACACUGCUGAGUAAGUUGAUUUGUAGCUUCAUACUUCAGUUUAACUUCAUUAGUCUUUAGCUUUUCUAUUUCAUUACCCAUGCUGCCCACUUUCAUUGAAAGCGUAGUUAGGGUUUUGAGUAUCUUUUCUAAAGCAUCAUCUUCUAUUA